UAGCGAACAAGUACCGUGAGGGAAAGGUGAAAAGCACCCCGAUGAGGGGAGUGAAAGAGACCUGAAACCGAACACCUACAAGCAGUCGGAGCCUCCUUGCGGGGUGACGGCGUACCUUUUGUAUAAUGGGUCAGCGACUUACAUUCAGUGGCGAGGUUAACCGAAUAGGGUAGCCGUAGAGAAAUCGAGUCCGAAUAGGGCGAAUCAGUCGCUGGGUGUAGACCCGAAACCAGGUGAUCUAUCCAUGGCCAGGAUGAAGGUACCGUAACAGGUGCUGGAGGUCCGAACCCACUAGUGUUGCAAAACUAGGGGAUGAGCUGUGGAUAGGGGUGAAAGGCUAAACAAACCUGGAGAUAGCUGGUUCUCUCCGAAAACUAUUUAGGUAGUGCCUCAAGUAUUACCUUCGGGGGUAGAGCACUGUUUAGGCUAGGGGGUCAUGGCGACUUACCAAACCUAUGCAAACUCCGAAUACCGAAGAGUACAGCUUGGGAGACAGAGCACCGGGUGCUAACGUCCGGACUCAAGAGGGAAACAACCCAGACCGCCAGCUAAGGUCCCUAAAAUUGGCUAAGUGGGAAACGAAGUGGGAAGGCUAAAACAGUCAGGAUGUUGGCUUAGAAGCAGCCAUCAUUUAAAGAAAGCGUAACAGCUCACUGGUCUAGU
rnacentral:rRNA from 1 species